GCUGGGCAUGGUAGUGCGUGCCUGUAGUGUCAGCUACUCUGGAGGCUGAGGCAGGAGGAUCACUUGAACUCAGGAAUUCUGGGCUGUAGUGCGCUAUGCCAGUUGGGUGUACACACUAAGUUCGGCAUCAAUAUGGUGACCUCUUGGGAGCAGGGGACCACCAGGUUGCCUAAGGAGGGGUGAACUGGCCCAGGUUGGAAACGGAGCAAGUCGGAACUCCCGUGCUGAUCAGUAGUGGGAUUGCACCUGCUCUGGGUAUGUUGCCCAGGCUGGAUCCUACUACUCUGACUGC
ensembl:misc_RNA Metazoa_SRP Metazoan signal recognition particle RNA